AUUCAUUGCCUUUGUCCACACUUGUUUCCUUAAAAUCUGCUUUUAGGUGUUUUGAUGAAUAAAAGAAGAUUAUUCUUUUGAAAAGCUAGAUCUUUAACAUUCGCUAUCUAUCAAUGAUGUGUCCUUGUUUCUACCAUUCGUCGUGAGGGAGGAGUCUGUUUCUAUGUGAUGCAAUGUAGUCCCUACAGUUUAUUGCUCUCCGCCACUACAAGCCUCGUCCAUUACUGAUGACAAUCUAGUCCUACAGUAUAUCGUUGUCCACCACUACAGGCCAUCGUCUAUUUUUAAUGGCAACUUAAUAUGUCGUAGAUUGUCACUUUUCGCUACUGUCGACUGUUGUCCACUAUGGAUGGUAAUCUCCUUUGUCAGUGUCAUAUCAGUUGAAGUUUUGCAGUUGUCCACGUAGUCUAAUAUUAUUCUCCAUAGUUUUUAGGAAAUUUCUUUGUUGUUUAUCCAUGACUUCUUUCCCUUCUAUCUCUUUUGACAUGUCUUUUGUCACCACUUUCAC
rnacentral:lncRNA from 1 species